CUUUUUUGAAAAAAAAAAUUUCUCAAUUUAAGAUCUAUUUGGUAACUUAUUCAAUAGUUAUUGUAUCGUUGUUUGCUUUUAUCAGUGGUUAUACGUACAGACAUGUCUCACCGUUAUCGUAAAGAUUCAAUAUUAGCUAAUUAUAAUCGUCAAUUACGAUUGUCAAGCCGACGAUAUUCUCGAAAGAGGAAGGCUGUUAACAAUUUUGGAAAAUUAAAGAUACCUAUGUUCAAUGAUAUUUCAUUCUAUAUUUCAACUACCGGAUGAUGUCAAUACAAUCAGCAAAUGAUGGAAAAGUUCAUGAAACUGCAUACGUCAAAACUCCAAUGAAUCAUUCUUACUGUCAUUAUGCACAGCUGACAGAUUAUAAACUUUUAUUCAUGGGCAACAGUUAUUGAUAUGAAUUUCAUCCACAUACAUAUGGAUUCAGGAAAGGAUGAAUAACCAGUCAACUUCAUUCUACUUCUCCACAAUUGCAUCGAAAUAAUUCUUUUGUAGAAAUUGGAAUGGUUCAUUUCUAAAGUUUGAAUAUAACGUGUAAUGAAUACAAUUUUUUGUUAUUUUUUUCCUGUUUUAGCGCAAAGCUGUACUACAUAUGUAACGGUUCAAUUAUGAUAAACUUCAUGUAUCAAUCACAUAAGCAUACAUCUAACAUAGAUUCGUAAUAAUCAAAAUGAAUUGUACUUUUGUGUUGCAAUAAUUUAUAAUAUAAAUGAAUUGAUAACAAUCAACAUAUCUAACAA